UACAGAGGGGGCAAGCGUUAUUCGGAAUUAUUGGGCGUAAAGGGCGCGUAGGCGGCCAUUCAAGUGACGGGUGAAAGCCCUCGGCUUAACCGAGGAACUGCCUGUCAGACUGGAUGGCUUGAGACCGGGAGAGGUGAGUGGAAUUCCCAGUGUAGCGGUGAAAUGCGUAGAUAUUGGGAGGAACACCGGUGGCGAAGGCGGCAUCCUGGACCGACACUGACGCUGAGGCGCGAAAGCUAGGGUAGCAAACGGG
rnacentral:rRNA from 1 species